CGGCCCGCCUCGGGCUCGCAAGCGCCCUUUGUUCCCGGGCCCUCUCGAGGCACUGCGCGCCGACGACCUCUGGCCUGCCUUCCGCUGCCUGGUUUGCGAUCUUGGCCCCAGGCCGCCCGGAGAUGAGUUUGGAUUGGAAAGAUAGAAAAGAACAGUCAAGACGAAAUCUUUCAUUCCCUCCAGCAUUUAUCGCGGGCGUUCAGGUGCUUCGAAGUUUGUAAUUAGCAGCUCAUCACGUGGGACCUGCAAAGGGCUGGAUGGGUGCCGCGUCCUCGUCGGUGUUUGCUGACAGCCUUGCCUCGGCCAGGUGAGGAAGGCAGCCUGGUAAUAACAGCGCUCGGCCAGACAUCACACCCAAGCCCCAUAGUAAUCAUACCUUUCUGGUUGCAAAAGAGGACAGUCGGUAACUAUUGAGGAGAGGGAUGGCAAAAUAAACUGGCAGCGUCUCCUCGAGUUUGAAAUAUAAAAGCUUAUUCCCAACGUUCUCUCCUUUCCUAUAGUAGGGAAGGAGAGACCUCUGAUCGUUUCGUUUAAAUAAACAUGCUUGCACUUCUGGA